CUUCUGGCUCACAGCCUUUAUAGAGCCAGCUGGGCCCUGAUUGGGGCGUGGCCCCCAGCUGCCGCCACUUCCCCCAGUCAGCUGGGGUUUUACUUCCUUCCCCAGCCCCAGCCCUCUGCAGGGCUUUUCCAACCCCUUCAGGGCUGGAGCGGGUGCCCACUUCCCAUAACCCAAUAGGAGAAAAAGAGAAACCACCUCAGACCCUGUUUGCCGAAUGCCCGAACUCUCCAAGCUGCACAGAUCAGGAGAAGUUACGUGUCGUGGGAGGAGAGGACAGAUGCUCGGGGAGAGUGGAGGUUUGGUACCGUGGCUUCUGG